UCCAGGCCCAGAACUUUCUCCAGUCAGCCUCC
rnacentral:piRNA from 1 species